rnacentral:rRNA from 1 species
UGGGGAAUCUUGCACAAUGGGGGCAACCCUGAUGCAGCGACGCCGCGUGAGCGAUGAAGGUUUUCGAAUCGUAAAGCUCUGUCCUAUGGGAAGAUAAUGACGGUACCAUAGGAGGAAGCCCCGGCUAACUACGUGCCAGCAGCCGCGGUAAUACGUAGGGGGCGAGCGUUGUCCGGAAUUACUGGGCGUAAAGGGUUCGCAGGCGGCAUGGCAAGUCCGAUGUAAAAGGCGAAGGCUCAACCUUCGUAAGCAUCGGAAACUGUCAAGCUUGAGUGAAGGAGAGGCAAGUGGAAUUCCUAGUGUAGCGGUGGAAUGCGUAGAUAUUAGGAGGAAUACCGGUGGCGAAGGCGACUUUCUGGACUUUUACUGACGCUCAGGUACGAAAGCGUGGGGAGCAAACAGG